rnacentral:rRNA from 1 species
CCCUUAGAUGUCCUGGGCCGCACGCGCGCUACACUGACGGAGCCAGCGAGCGUGUCCUUCGCCGAAAGGUGCGGGUAAUCUUGGCAGCCUCCGUCGUGCUGGGGAUAGAUGGUUGCAAUUAUUUAUCUUGAACGAGGAAUUCCUAGUAAGCGCGAGUCACCAGCUCGCGUUGAUUACGUCCCUGCCCUUUGUACACACCGCCCGUCGCUACUACCGAUUGGAUGGCUUAAUGAGAGCUCUGGAUCUCUGCCGGCGCGGUCCUCACGGGUCGCGUUGGAUGGGGAGAAGUUGCUCAAAUUGAGUCUUCUAGAGGAAGUAAAAGUCGUAACA